CUGAGCUGGCGCAUCACCGGUUGGCUGAGUCGAAUCCCCCCACUUCAUCUGCAGUCUGGACAAUCUGCCAGGACCACUCACCCCUACAUUCCUCAUUCCUUCCAGCAAGCAGUGGAGGCGGCUGCUUGGGAGAGUCUCUCAGAAAAACCCCUUCUGACCAUGGCACACGCGGAGGGCCCUUGCUGCAGCUUGUGUGCUACUGUGGCAGAGUUCUCUCCCUGUGGAUGUGUGCCACCUCCGCUCUCAGGAAAGGAUCGCAACCAGAAACGAGGAUGGAUUGCACUGUGUGGGCCAGUGGCUGAGACGGUAUCCGAAGCUCCUACCCUCGGCAGCCUUCGCCCCUGACCCCAGCCUCGAGAUCACCCAGCACCUCUCCUACGUUUUCGCCUGAGGAGAUGCACUGCCAGGAAGCGCUAGACCCCGAGGCUGUCCAUCAGCACUCCUGUGGGUGCCUGACCACUGAGACUCACUUCCCUGCCACGGGCUGCCACGCACCCCCACGCUCACUCUCCCUGAAGCUGGCGCAGCCUCUGACCUUGUUGAGCCAGUCCCUCGGCCCUCCAGGCCUCAGUGUCAAAUAGAGAAAAGAUCUCUAAAUGUGUCACCUUCCAACUGGCACUGCCCUCUUCUAGAUGAGCGAGAGAAGUAGACAAGGCCGGGGACACCAGCUGAGACAGGACAGAGAGUAGACCCCAGUCUUGCCCUGGUGCCUGUUUCAUCAAUGCCUGCUUUGUCUGGAACUCACAGCAAGCAGGUGAGUUCAGUUUCCAUUAGGGACAAUUAACUCUUCAUUUGCAUAUGCUAAACGUGACAUUUAAAGGAGCAGUUCCUCCCCACCUCAAACAGGAUGAAAGUCCAAUGACAGGCAGGCAACCUGCAGUUUGGGGCAGAGGUGUAAUUGGCUCUUAUUAAGGUGAGAUGCUAGGAGAUGGAGGGUUCAAAAUGCAAAUGAUAGUACUGCUCCUUCCCAUGCCUGAAUGGGAGAGACAAGGGCCAGGCGGGGUGUUCUGUGCAGGUCUCCUGCCCCUCAAAAAGACAGGAAAGCUGGGCAGAGAGAGAAGACUCAAGCUCCUGGGGGAAGAGGACAAAGCCACACAUCAGUCCCAGCAGCCCCAUCUUCUGCCUGGGCCUGCCCAACGAUGCCCACUGCCCCUCCCUGUCCCACUGAGUCACCCACCUGAAGCCGGAUCUAGCAGCACACUCCUCCCUGGCUCAGAAACCCCCACCCACAGCUUCAAUCCUGGUGCCGCCAAGUCUCAGCCAUGAUGCCCAGCCAGGAGGCCUAAAUAUACCAUGCCGCCCUGGGUCUGUGCCACACCCAUUCCAGAGACAUCCCUCCCCUCCCACCCACCUGGCCAGCUCUGGGUCUUAUCUCAACCCAGCUCAGAAUGGAUGAAAUCUGCCCCCACAGCCUAGGUGGAACUACUACAGACCUCUUCAUCCACGGGAUGGGCAACCCCAGUGAGACUAGGAGUCUCUGGAAGCAGAAGCUCUGACUCAUCUCUAUCUACAAGCAUCUGAUCGGAGGUGGCUUGCCAAAGAAGCGCAUGAGGCCUGGUGGGUGCCUGGAAGGAAGCAGGGGUGGACGUGGGCAGGGGGGCAAUGGGUGGCGGGUAGAUGGAUGGAGAAAGGAGUGCCUUUGCCUCUCCUGCUUAUAAGGCUAUUCCCUGAACUUGACUUAAAAUGACUGCUGGAAGCCCCCGUUGUGCAGGUGGGAAAAUGGUAAGGCUGGUGAGGAUAGAGACUCCAGCCCCAGCCCGUGAGGAACCUGGGGGAGGCAGGGUCCAGACCACCCUUUCUGAACACCCUCAAGUUGCUUGCUGCAGCCUCACGUUGCAGACCUCCGCCGUGAGGGAAUUUUCUGCCUGGCUACCUCACUCAUGCAUGUGGUCCCAGGUCCUGACGUGGCCUGACCGUCUGGACCUCCUCAGAUGUAGCUGGAGCCUGAGGCUGACUGUGCAAAAUCCCAUCCUGUCUCUCACCUGAUUACAAAGUGACCUGGGAGGCCUGACCCCAGCAGCCCAGCUCUGUAGCUUGCAAACUGCAGGGCACUGUCUCAGUCCCAAGAGAGUAAGCACCUGUCCACGGCAGUUUGCUUCGGUGUCCUCCCUGGCUAGCAAACGGCCCCUGUCUACUCUACUCUGCUCCAACUGAGUGCAGCUGGACAGGCAGCGCUCUCCUCUCCCCUGCCCCCUCCGCCAAUACUGUUGCAUUUUGGAAGCAGGGAGAGGGUAUCCUGGAAUGACUGAGCUCAGAAGGGGAGGGACCUGCGUGCCCAACAUUCAGAACACGCUUCCAGCCCUACCCCCCACCUCCCCAUGGGCCUGCAGCUCUCCCCAGCCACUUCUGGGGUGUUAGUCUAGAAGGGCUCCCUCCUCUAGAAGGAUCCCUGCGCUGCAGCACAGACCUUGUUACAAUAAAGACUUGCUUUAGUGUU